UACGAAAGGGGCUAGCGUUGCUCGGAAUCACUGGGCGUAAAGCGCACGUAGGCGGCUUUCUAAGUCAGGGGUGAAAUCCUGGAGCUCAACUCCAGAACUGCCUUUGAUACUGGAAAUCUUGAGUCCGGGAGAGGUGAGUGGAACUCCGAGUGUAGAGGUGAAAUUCGUAGAUAUUCGGAAGAACACCAGUGGCGAAGGCGGCUCAUUGGCCCGGUACUGACGCUGAUGUGCGAAAGCGUGGGGAGCAAACAGG
rnacentral:rRNA from 1 species